rnacentral:tRNA from 1 species
GAAGCUGUGGAAUUGGUAAGACGCCUGAUCUGAUCAGGAUGAACCUUCCCGUGCUUUUUAGAACAUAGAUGGCGCCAGUCAGGCGACCAUCGAAACGUAAUACGCCACGGAAGUGCCUAGCACUCGGAUGGUAUGGCGAGGUUCGCCGUCCACGUUUCUCUUUCUUCAAGAAGGAUAUAAACCUUUGGUCAGGGGGUCAGCGGUUCGAUCCCGCUCAGCUCCACCA